UUUUUUUUUUUUACUGUUUCUCUUUGGUAUCUAUUUAGAGCUUCAGUAUAUGCCUUCCACUCAGGUUCCUUACACAGACUAUGUUCUCUUUUCUGGUUGUAUAACAAGAUUGUAGAGAGAUAAACACAGUAAAAGGAUGUUAACGAUUGAAUUGCAACCCUACUUACUACUGUCUACUUUGCUGUAGCAGUGAAGUAGUCCAGACUUACUUAAAGGUGGUAUUGUUUUCAUCUUAUAAAAAUCUACUGUAGUAUUAUGAUGUUCCAUGUAAAUUUUCAUGUGCUGGCAUGCUUACAAGUUAAUAGUGUUAUAGAAUGCUCAGCUCUCAAUGAGGGAUUGUUUGUGGUUAAUUGCAUUACAUAUGUCAUCUAUCUGUUUGCUGAAAGAAUAUGGUGUUUAGCAAAACUACCUGCUGAGCAACAUAAUAAGAUUUUUGUACAAAGUACAAAUUACUAAUUAUUGUAUUUUAUUUUUCUAUGAUUUCCUAAGAGGCAUUAUCAGGGUCUUACAGAUGGAGUAAGCCUGUUUAUUAAAAUAUCUAUUAGCAAAUAAAAGUUACAGUUCUGGUGGUUAAAUCUGUGACUUUUUUGUACCGUUGUACUGCUUCAUAUUUGAUAUAAUUUAUUUUUUAGUCUGUUAAAUCUAGAUGCUCUUUAGAUACAUAAUUCUGGAUGCAAAAUCAUAGGUGUAAUUUUUCAAAAUAAUUAAUGUCAUUAGCAUCAAGGCAUAAAAUCACAUAAAUCACUAUAAAGAGAUACGGAUUUUUGUAGUGAUUUCAUAUUGGGAAACUAUUCUGUGAGCUUCAGUAAGUGGAGUUGUUCAUUGCAGAGGUAAUUCUGUACACAUAAGUUGCAGAUGACCAAAAGAUAUACAUAAUGUCCAACUAUUCAAAUGGCUUAGACCAUUAGCAUUCAUUCCAAAAACGUCAAUAAAUUAGGAAUCAGGGAUUGUCUAUAUUUUUAAAGGUUGCUAGUAAGAAAAUACAUAAAAAGUAUCCUCAAUUAAUCAGAAUAGUGUUGUAGUCAUCAUAUCUUACACUUAACUCUUUUGUAAUUCUUCUACUACAGUCCAAAACCCAGUAUGGAAUUAAAACUGGUUAUAAAAUACCUGAAACUUUCUUCCCUUAUACAGAUAUCUUAAGUAGCCUAGAGAAAAUCACAUGCCAUUUUUAAAGCUUCUAACUCUCAUAAUAAGAUGAAGAUAACCAAACUACCUUAUUAAUCCAGUGGAACAAUUUUUAUGGGUCUGUCAGUACUCGAAUGUACCAAAAUGAAGAUUUUGGCAAAGUACCAAAACACAGAUUCAACCGUAUGCAAUAUGUAUGUUUUUAAACUUCUACAUAUUUUCAACACUGGCAUUUUCCAGGUUACUGAGAGCACUGUGAGUUUCAUAACCACUAUUUAAUCUCAAUGAGAAGCCAUCACAUCAACUACACUUACCUACAAUAACGUUGUACUUAGCGGUUUUUUCGACAAUUAUGUAUAUGCCUAAUUUACUGAAAAGUUGGGUAUCCAGUCUCCCCGUCAAAUUUCCAGUUUUCACCAAAUGUUUUGCACAAAAACAGAACUAAACCUAAGGACAGAAAAUGCCAACUCCAAACAGGAAAAAAUAUGUCUGUGCAGUAAUAUUUUCUGAAACUAAGAUUUCUGCUUAACUCUAAGGAAAAAAAAAUCAUAUUCAGGCUAUAAGGAAAUUAGCUUCUAUGUCUCAUCAAAAUGAGUCACUUAGACGGAAAGAAACCUAAUCAAUACCGCCCUGUAAAUGUAUUUACAGUCAGAAGUUAACCAGAAUACUUAGGAACUGAAUCAAAUCCUAUCCCUUUAAGAGAAAUUUCAGGACAAAGGAAGACAGGAUUUAUUUACUGAACACCUACUAUGUGACAAACAAUAUACUUUUUUAAAUCAAUUCAAUCCUCAAAACUAUCAGAGGAGACACUGUAUUUUUGAAAGUGAGGAAACUAAAGCCUGAAGAAGGUUAAUGGCGUAAGGCCACACGAUUAGGAAGAAGAUAUCCAUACUCCAUGUUUUUCAAGGAUAUCUGUGAAUAUUUUGGAAUAUACCACUAUUGGGCUUUUGUUGUUAGUUUUAGCCUUUC
rnacentral:lncRNA from 1 species